UACGAAGGGGGCUAGCGUUGCUCGGAAUCACUGGGCGUAAAGCGCACGUAGGCGGAUUGUUAAGUCAGGGGUGAAAUCCUGGAGCUCAACUCCAGAACUGCCUUUGAUACUGGCGAUCUCGAGUCCGGGAGAGGUGAGUGGAACUGCGAGUGUAGAGGUGAAAUUCGUAGAUAUCGGAAGGAACACCGGUGGCGAAGGCGGCGAUCUGGGUAGAUACUGACGCUGAGGUGCGAAAGCGUGGGGAGCAAACAGG
rnacentral:rRNA from 1 species